AACAUUAUGUAUAUAAGUUAGGGCUGGGCGAUAGGGAGAAAAUCAAAUAUCACGAUAUUUUCAACCAAAUGCCUCGAUAUCGAUACCUCAACUAUAUUGAAGUGUUGACUAUUGGUGCUUUCACAAAAUAUUUAUACAAUGACUUUUUUGAUAAAUGAUCAUUAGUAAUGUGGAUAAAAUG